AGUGAACGCUGGCGGUAGGCCUAACACAUGCAAGUCGAACGGCAGCACAGUAAGAGCUUGCUCUUACGGGUGGCGAGUGGCGGACGGGUGAGGAAUACAUCGGAAUCUACUUUUUCGUGGGGGAUAACGUAGGGAAACUUACGCUAAUACCGCAUACGACCUACGGGUGAAAGCAGGGGAUCUUCGGACCUUGCGCGAUUGAAUGAGCCGAUGUCGGAUUAGCUAGUUGGCGGGGUAAAGGCCCACCAAGGCGACGAUCCGUAGCUGGUCUGAGAGGAUGAUCAGCCACACUGGAACUGAGACACGGACCAGACUCCUACGGGAGGCAGCAGUGGGGAAUAUUGGACAAUGGGCGCAAGCCUGAUCCAGCCAUACCGCGUGGGUGAAGAAGGCCUUCGGGUUGUAAAGCCCUUUUGUUGGGAAAGAAAAGCAGCAGGUUAAUACCCCGCUGUUCUGACGGUACCCAAAGAAUAUGCACCGGCUAACUUCGUG
rnacentral:rRNA from 1 species